ACACACUGCUAAAUGUCCAGCCCAUUCUUUCUGUGACUUCAAUAACUCUCCCUCUCUCUUUCUCCCUCUCUCUCGCUCUCUCGAGCUUUCAAUAGAAGCUCGCUGCCUUAUGAUCGAUGCCUCCAACGAGAGACAAGAGAAGGGAGAAGAGGAGAAGGCUUGGCUUCUUCUGCUUGGUGACAGUACUAUACGCCAUCUUCGUCUGCUUCCCCUGUGGCUGCCCAGCAGUCGCGACUCCAAUACUUGGUCCGAGGAUCGGCGCCGAAGGAGCACGGGAGAAGAUGACUAUGAUAGGGAGAAGACCGACGCCGCCGGAAACGACUUCCAGCGUCCAUGAAAGCAAGCGACGAGUGCCAACUUGCCCCGAUCCUCUUCACAACAAGUGACACUUGGUUCUUCUCUUUAAUUACUUUUUACUGUGAAGGACGCAACUCGGACACGACAUUACAUUCGCUUUCUUGCAUUUAUGAUAUCGGUGCUUGACCGUACUCGGACUCGUCACAUGAUCACAAGCAUAGAGCACCACCAUAUGUUCAUAUAUACCUACAGCAAUUAGCUGCAAGCGCAGAGCAGAGCGUCGUCCCAAGUUUCAAGGGGGGGGAGGGAAAGCCCUAUCUAAGGUUCAUGGCACUGUUUGAAAGGUAGGAAGGUUCUUCGCGGAAGGUAUCUACUCACUGUCACAUGAUGACUAAAAGGGAGCAAGUUGGUCCUCCUCCUUGUCGCCACUUCGCCUCCGAUACCUUUCAAGACUACUACAAGAUUAGGUUAUCUUUAAGCUCUUCGCCAUGUGAAAACGUAAUGUGAUUUUGUUAUUCCUAAGUGGUCUUGGGCUAAUUCUUGGGCUGCGUUCGAGCCCAUCUCUACUUUAGGGCCGAGUUGUCGGCGAGAGUUGCAUAAAAACCCUAUCGCCGCCUCUCCCUUCCUACCGUCUCCAUUGUUUCGCUCUACGAGGAGAAGCGGCGCGGCGGCUGAGUAAAACGCAUUCUCGCUUCUACUACCUAUUUUAUGCGAUGCCCGAAUCGGGGAAGGAUUCGCGCCCAGAGAUGGUUGUCAGCGGGCAAUUACAUCUUGCACACUUACUGACAUGACGAGAAUUCAAGCAGCAGUCACUCACUUCUCCCAAUUGACAACGCCGUGAAGUGCUGCGCUGUUUGAAGAGGGGAAUGUUGCGGAUGCAGAUGGAAUCAGCUUCAUCGCAUCCAAGAUAGAGAGGAAACCGUGGUAAUCGCUUCGGAGAAAUCGUAUACCAGUUUGCAAAUCAUAUAUCGUGUCCAUAACGAGAUCUGCCGAUCGAUCAGCUAAACGAAUCGAAGAUAUCAAAGUUCUACCUUGCGCAGCCAAAGUGCCACCAUCUAAGCAGGAGAAAAUCCCCAAAGUCUGAUUGUGCCAUCCUUGUAUCCAGAAUACAGCGUGAGGCCAUUAGCGCUCCAGGUUAAGCUGGUGCAGAAGGGUCUCUGCCAGCAUCGCGCCAACAAAAAGAAAGCCAUUAGAUGCAGUAACAGUGAACACUUGUAUGUAGAUCAAGAUGAAUUACCAUCACUGGAUUUUUAAUGUUCAGAUGGUCAAUUCUGCAAUCUAAUUUAUAUUUUCUUGAUCUA